GUGGGAAAGCGGCCUUUGUUUUUCUCACGGGUGCCAAGCGCGCUCCGCUCCUCCCUGGCGGUUUCAGGGGCGAUCGAAGGGGCUGCUGAUUUCCCCAGAGCAAAAAAGGUGCUAUCCGAUCCAAGGCAGAGACUGUUCUUCUGGGGGACCAUGUGGGAGAAUGACAGAGGUGACUCCCGGCCAGGGCAGGAGGGGAGAAGAACGGAAAAGAGGGAAUAAAGCAAAAUCAAAGUGGACCAAGAAACUUCUGAAGGUGCUGAUUUCCAUGAAAUUGCAGUC